UCUCCAUCCUCAUCUUCCUCUUCCAUCCUCCUCCUCCUCCUCCUUCUCCUCUACCUCUUCUUCCUCCCUCUCCAUGGGCCCCGCUCCGGGCUCCGCGCGGUGCGGGUGCCGAGCGCUAACCCCCGCCCCGUGCCCGGCGGCGUGUGCGGGUGUGCAAUUGCACACUUCCUGCGGUGUGUGCGACCCGGCCCCGGUUUCCGGUAGCUGACAGCCGCCGCAGCCUGUCCCUGCCUCCUCCGGCGGUAGUGCCGCCGAGCCGGGCAGCGCGCACGGACACGGACACGCACACGCACAGGAGGAGGAGGAGGAGGAGGGAAGAGGAGAAAGGACCGGAGCACUCCCAGCACCAUCACCUAUCCCCCCAUGCGAUACGGGCGGCAUCGCGCAGCCCCGCUCUCCCGCGGACAGGCACCUGCAGCACGCUGGGGUUGUGUGACACUGAGCUGCCUGCCAGGUUAGACCACAGCAACCGCUCAGGGAGAAGAAUGCUAAAGCCCAAGCAAUUCUCUGUAAACAAUUUCAGCAUCUUUAGCUAAGUUAUGUUACAAUUCCUUGCUCUUCUUUAUUUACUGAACAAAUGGUUAAUGUUUACUUAAUUUUUUCUUCUUUUUCUCUCUGUUCACUUAGUUGAAUGACCUAUGUCACAUCUGAUUUUUUUUAUUUUUAUUUUUUUGUAAAGAAAUGAGUAUCAGAGAAAAAACUGCAAGGUCUGCUGGAAAGUCCUUGCACUGAAGAUCUGGGAAACUGAGGGCUUCUGAUGUUUUGUGGGUGAGGUCUUACCUGGAAAGUACCUGUUGCAUGUAGGUGGAAAGCACGAAAAGAUGAGCAUAAGACAAGCCUUGUGUUUUUAUGUUUGACCUGAAAUAUUACAGGAUUCGUGGCCUUGAUGACAGAUGUCUAUGUGCUGCAAAUGUGUAGAUAAUUGUGAUGAAAAUGACAAAUGUUUAUCUUCAAUAGAAUUGUAGUUUGGAUCUGUGAAGCAAGAAGAUGUAGUAAAAAUAAAAUCUUAGUUCACAAAGUUCA
rnacentral:lncRNA from 1 species